CGAAGACACGUCGCCGACAGGAAAUAAUUCUCUUGAAAUAUACCUUUCCAUCGUAGUACUCUGCACAGAUGUCACCGGUAAUCCUGACUUACCUGAGACAAAUUCCUUUGUGAAUUCAGAAUCAGAACUGUCUCUUUCAUCUAGUUUCGUUACACCGACUUCGCCGUUACGAUUAUCAUCACCACUUUCGUUGCCGUCCUCCCCUACACCAUUUGCAAAGACACCGCUUCAAACACGCUCCAACAAAUCCUUAGAUGAUCAUUCACAAAAGAGAAAACUCAAUCAAGCAGUAUGUACCCACCGUUAAUCAAAUCAAGAUCUGCUACUGGUCGGGGCUGGUGGCAAACAUAAAAUAAAACCUAACUUCCAUGGCUUCUUUGGACGCAAAACUGGCCAAGCUGCUGGUUUCUCAUACGCAGAGGCCAACAAAGCUAAAGGUAUUACCUGGGGGGAUGAUAUACUUUUUGAGUUCUUGGAAAACCCCAAGAAGUACAUCCCUGGCACUAAAAGGUCUUCAUUGGAUUGAACCAAAGCUAAAGAGCGUGCAGAUCCAAUUGCUUACCUAAAGCAAGCAUAGGAGAAAUAUUCCAAUAUUUGGAAAAUGCUUCUUAUUUGUGAGCGCAAUCAGUAUCAACAUUAUUUAAUAUAUGUAUUUAUUUUGAGUUAUCAAAAGUUGUGAAGUUGUUACUCAUCACCAUCAAUCUUCAUAGUUGGACGUUUGUGUGUUGUAUUUAAUGUAAAUGUUAUAAAUGUAUGACAAAAUUUUUUUUUACUGAGCAUAACAAUGUUGUGAGUGAUUUUUUAUGUUAUUAAAUUAAUAACAGACAUCGUA